AGAAAUAACAAUACAAGGCAGUUAAAAUGCUUUGUAAUUGGAAUGAUAGAAAUUUAAACCCUUUUUAAAGUAUCAAUUGGAGGGCAAGUCUGGUGCCAGCAGCCGCGGUAAUUCCAGCUCCAAUAGCGUAUAUUAAAAUUGUUGCAGUUAAAAAGCUCGUAGUUGAAGUUCUGCUAAAAGUAACCGGUCUGCUUUUAAUAAAGGUGGUAUCUUGGUGUGUAUUUAGCAAUGAUGUCCUUUGAAGUGUUUUUUACUUUAUUGUAAUAAAGCAUAUUCAGGACUUUUACUUUGAGAAAAUUAGAGUGUUUCUAGCAGGCCAACGCUUUGAAUACUGCAGCAUGGAAUAAUAAGAUAGGAUUUUAGUUCUACAUUAUUGGUUUUAAGAGCUAAAUUAAUGAUUGAUAGGGACAGUUGGGGGCAUUUGUAUUUAACUGUCAGAGGUGAAAUUCUUAGAUUUGUUAAAGACAAAC
rnacentral:rRNA from 1 species